UACGUACGUGGCGAGCGUUAUCCGGAAUUACUGGGCGUAAAGCGUGCGUAGGCGGUUUAGUGUGUGGGAAUUGAAAGCCCGGGGCUCAACUCCGGACCCGGUUCCCAAACUGCUAGACUCGAGCAUAUCAGAGGACAGUGGAAUUCCCAGUGUAGCGGUAAUAUGCGUAGAUAUCGGGAGGAACACCAGUGGCGAAGGCGACUGUCUGGGGUAUUGCUGACGCUGAGGCACGAAAGCCAGGGGAGCGAACGGG
rnacentral:rRNA from 1 species